CCUACGGGUGGCAGCAGUGGGGAAUUUUGGACAAUGGGGGCAACCCUGAUCCAGCCAUGCCGCGUGCGGGAAGAAGGCCUUCGGGUUGUAAACCGCUUUUGUCAGGGAAGAAAUCUCCUGGGCUAAUACCUCGGGGGGAUGACGGUACCUGGAGAAUAAGCACCGGCUAACUACGUGCCAGCAGCCGCGGUAAUACGUAGGGUGCAAGCGUUAAUCGGAAUUACUGGGCGUAAAGCGUGAGCAGGCGGUUGAAAUCCCCGGGCUUAACCUGGGAACUGCAUUUGUGACUGCAUAGCUGGAGUGCGGCAGAGGGGGAUGGAAUUCCGCGUGUAGCAGUGAAAUGCGUAGAUAUGCGGAGGAACACCGAUGGCGAAGGCAAUCCCCUGGGCCUGCACUGACGCUCAUGCACGAAAGCGUGGGGAGCAAACAGGAUUAGAUACCCGAGUAGUC
rnacentral:rRNA from 1 species